GCUGAUGGGUGGGAGCUGCACACUCCGGAGGUGCGUGGGUGCCUAGGGGUCGUGUCACGCACAUGGACAUGAACACGCAGGGGGGAUGCAGCGUAGCUGGAAAGCAAGCCGGCAGGCUUCUAUGUAGAAAAGGAGUUAAACCCCGCCGUUCUCCUUUGAUUUAGGAAACGGCUCAUCCAAUUCAGUUCCAGAUUAUUCAGGGGCAGACUGCCUCGCUCGCUCCCUCUCUCCCCACAUCAGCCCAAACAUCUUGAAGUAAUCAGCAGCUGAGAACGGAGACGUCCCCCUGGCAUCUCAGGUUAAAGAAGGAGGUCCAGGAAAAUGUGGUAGAGCCAUUACAAGAAACCUGAGAAGCAUUCAUCAGAGACUCCAAUUGCCAUCGCAUUAGGAUUGAUUAGAGACCAGCAGUACCGUAAUGACCCGGAAAGAGGGGCAUACGGGGAUUAUUAAUAUCAGACUUCAAAAAAAAAAAGGGAGAAAAAGAAGGAAGGAGGAGGGAAAAUUUAAAAAAAACAAAAGCGCAUCGCGGGACUGCUGCUCGUACGCAGACUUACCUGAGGAGCACAGGGACGGAUGAUAAUUUUUCUAACUUCUAAGGAAGAAAAAGCAAACAAACAUGGAAAAAAAAAAAGACCACCUCUGGACCCCAUUAAAUCGCCCGCUCCCAGAGCGGCUCCCUCCAAACCCCCCAACGCCGCGGGCCCGGGGCAGAGGCGGCUCGGGGGGGGCCGGCCCGCGGCCCAGCUCACCCACUCGGACCAGAGGAACAUGGUCCUCCGGCCGGCGACAGCAAGGACAAUUUCAGGAGCCUCCAAAGAGGAGAAAAGGAGACCUCGCUGGCUCGUCUCCUUCUCAGUUCCCUGCGCCUAAACAAAUCAGCCCCUCCUGGUCUCGGUUUAAAUGUAGCUCACUGGAUAAUUAACUCCAUCUUUCCAGCCCUGCUUUAACUGUUUAUUUAGUGUCACCCCGUAUUACCAUCACUAGCACUUUCCUCUGAACAGGAGGAGCUGGAGGGUUUCACCUCCCAAAAGGAAAUUCUUCGUAGCUUAAAAGAAUCAGCAUCCAGGAGGUACAUUAGAGAGCAGGAAAGGGGGGAGGAUAAGGAAAGGGGGUCCCACGGUAAAAACAUGAGAAAAUAAGGAUGUGGGGGGACAGGUACAGAAAGACGUAUCGGCCCUCGCAGAGAAAAACCAACGCGUGAUCACCUCUAAUCCUUUGAAAAAUGUCCCGGUGUCUGGAGGGCAAUUUACUAACAAGUAAUUAAAGGUUGCACCAGUUUGCAAGCGCGUCGGGCCAAAGGUUCCCUGCAAGACAAGAGAGGAUGCAUAUGGAGAGGGAACAGCAAGUGGAUGGGAAAGGAAUCCUCUACAACACAAACCUCAUUGACUUAAUGGGUCGGUUUUGGAUUUCGCCUUCGAAAGGUUCGGAAAGCGGCAGCGUUGUGUUACUGCCCCGCCGGCUCCCAGCCUCCAGCCCCGGUUAUCAUCACGCCGAGACGAGUCACCGAAAAAAAUGCCGCCGAUUUUAUUCUGUCGCGCUAUUUGUUUCCCUCAC